rnacentral:rRNA from 1 species
GACGAACGCUGGCGGCAUGCCUAAUACAUGCAAGUCGAGCGAACAGAUGAAGUGCUUGCACUUCUGACGUUAGCGGCGAACGGGUGAGUAACACGUAAGGAAUCUACCUAUAAGCGGGGGAUAACAUUCGGAAACGGGUGCUAAUACCGCAUAAUAUCUUCUUCCGCAUGGAAGAAGAUUGAAAGACGGCUCUGCUGUCACUUAUAGAUGACCUUGCGGUGCAUUAGUUAGUUGGUGGGGUAACGGCCUACCAAGACGAUGAUGCAUAGCCGACCUGAGAGGGGGAUCGGCAACAUGGGGACUGAGACACGGCCCAAACUCCUACGGGAGGCAGCAGUAGGGAAUCUUCCGCAAUGGGCGAAAGCCUGACGGAGCAAUGCCGCGUGAGUGAAGAAGGCCUUCGGGUCGUAAAACUCUGUUAUAAGAGAAGAACAAAUUGUAGAGUAACUGCUACAGUCUUGACGGUAUCUUAUCAGAAAGCCACGGCUAACUACGUGCCAGCAGCCGCCGUAA